GGCGGCGUAGCCAAAUGGGAAGGCAGAGGCUGGCAAAGCCUUUAUACGCGGGUUCGAUUCCCGUCGCCGCCU
rnacentral:tRNA from 1 species